rnacentral:lncRNA from 1 species
AGUUAUACUGUUGUUGAAGUGUGUGGGGUGGGGGUGCUCUCCAUCUGUAAGACCACGGGUGUAGAAAUAGGCUGUAUUAUUUAAUCAACUAGUUUCUUGGUCAAUGUUCUCAGAAGAUGGGUUUGAGGUGUAAGCAGACAGCUCCAGUGGCUGCGGUGACACUAGGGUGCUGUUCUAAAGGCUCUUGGGCUCAAAGAUGGAGGCCACCAGAAUGUCCUCCAUUCAGAAAUGCUUUUCCACAUGAGGAAUUAUCAAUGGACAUGACCGAGCUCCUACAAAUCAAAUCCUCAAGUCAUGAUGAGAUGUCUAUUAUUGAUUUCUUUCUAGUGUGAAGUAUUAUUGGGGGAAUAAGCAAGUGCAGGUCAUUGUCUCUUGCUAUACCCUCCCCCCCCCCCAGUAAAUACAAAUCAAAGAAAAGAAAUAAAAA